CAUUUACACGACAACACACGGAAUAGACUACUGCCCCACAUGGAAAAGCUUUAUAUUGUACAUUUACGAGGAAAAUCAAUUGAAGUAGAAUGGUUGAAACACAGCCCAAACGAGGAUCUCCUAGUUUAAAGAUUUAAAUGUGGAAAUGUUGCCACCGCAUCGCAUUUUUUUCACAAGGCUUUGGCAUUUGCACCAGCAGUGAACACACACAUAGGCUACAACACACACAAUAGUGCGGAUGUCGGUGGUCACUGCACAAAUUCCCAGCUACGCAGAAUAGGAGAUGUUCACAUUUGGAAUGUGGAUAAAAAAAACAAUGUUGCUCCACCUAAUAGAAGGCUAUGCAUAAACUGUACAAAUAAGAUGGAUGGCAAACCAACGGGAAUAGCAUACGUCCGUUUCCUACCAAAAGGAAUAGGAACGAAUAACAUCGAAUACAUUUCGAUUCCCCGGAAAGGACACCGGGAAUAUGAUAGCAUCAGAGUACAGUUGACGCAGGUACCUACAGCGCUCUACCCACUCUUGGAGCAGCACGGACCUUUCUCACCUGCUCAGGAGGAAGAGCGCUGGGUGAUGGUGUCCUCAUCACGUUCUCAACUUACUGUUACUGUAUGGCAGAUUUCGUUGAGCAAUUCAUUUGGUUUUGGGCUGUCCCCUGGCGUCCCCACCUCCCAGAGAAAUGUCUGAGGCCUUGAUAUAUUCCUCUCAGGUUUCCAUGGCCGCACCGCCGGGCCAGAUCCCGUUGCACUGAUGUCACUCAUGAAUUGAACCACCUCUCUACGGGAAGGGAUUCACAAGAAGCAGCUGACAGACCAGGGCCCAUAACACUGCGGAUUUAGGUUCAAUUUAGCCUUAUAGAUCACAAUGAAUAUGAUUACAAUGACAAGGGGGAGCUGGUCCUAGAUCGCUAUUCCUACUCUGAAGCCGCUUUGUGAAUACGGGCCCUGGAAGAAAGCUGUUGCCCAAUUCCUUGCACAGCAGUCGUUUCACCACAGGACCCUAGAGGCCACUGCAUGCUGUGACAUGGGCCUGGAUGAUGACAAAUGUUCUUCAAGCUGCCUGAUUGAAUACUGGGGCGUUCAGUGCUACUGGAAACAAGUUCCUUACCAGGGAGCAAAGCAAGAGUCUCUCUCACAGCCAUUCUGUCAACAUGUAUUGAAUGUAACCACUCAAGUUUAUGUGAAUGACUACUGGCGAAAGCACUGACUUAUAUUUACUUUGUCUAUUUGAACCAUUCUUCAAUCUUGACUGAGAUACAUAUUUUAGUUCACACGCCUUUGUGACGUGUCUGAUAAACAUGAAUAAAAAUCUAUUCACCCUUGCACUGAUUUUAGAACUUUUGAAUCAUAAGCUGUAAGUGUUGUCUUGAUAUUGAAAUUACCACAGAAAUACAAAAGAUGUCAUAAAAAGUGAAGACCAACGUGCCAAACAUGCUAUGAAAAGUUAUUGUCUUGUAAUUAACAAACUGAAAAAGUAAAAUGACAUGUUUAUACAAAACUUUCUUGCAUUUGGCUAUCCCCAAAAUGUGGCCAUUGAAAGGGUUAGUUAGAUAGUUACAUCCUCAGGGAACUGUCUGCGGAUAGCUGAAAACAGGGUGGCAGGUAUUUUGAUGUGCCGCUCUAGAGUUCCAUAACCCAGAAGACUCAACUGGGGAUAGGGGGAUGGAACACAUGUUCAUUUUUAUGAAAGUCUGGAAGACUUUUACAGGGAGGAGAUAGAUGCCACCUUUCUACAAGGCAGGACAUUUAUCUGCAUCCAAGUUCAGGCUUGCUACAAGCAGGAACAUAGAGCACUCCGUGCCCUUCUUAAAACAAUUCCAUAUAGCUUAGUAGUAACCUCCCUCCCUCCUCCCCCGGCUUAGACAGUGUUAGACUUUUAUGGGCUAAUGUGAAACAUGGCAUUUCAUGAAAAUAUACAUGUAGAACGAACAGUCCGUCUUUAGUUUUUCCCCAGGGGUACAAUAACUACUGUUCACAGGGCUUGAAAUCCCUUCGCCGGUUUAACCCUUUGACACAUAAGAACACACAUUGUGAUCAUUAUACAAUGGUCCCUGCAGCGUACACUCAAACCGGUAUGAUUAGAACACUUAUUUAGAACGUCCAGAUACGAUCGAUGCAACAGUCAGCUUUUGAGCUGGCCACACUGUUUUUUAAAAUAAAUAUUUUGCACAAACACAGUCUUUGUAAUGUUGUUUUCCCAUAAUAUGAAUUAGCUAAUAGCAAUUACUAUUUACAAUUCAACACAUUACAGGCAAUGUUCUCUCAAAUUCUUUAUGGCACAUUGCAAAUUUCAGGUCUGCUGAGCACAAAUU